rnacentral:lncRNA from 1 species
UUUUCUAGAGCAUACAAGUAAGAUAAAGUAGAAUCUAGUAUUAAACCAUCAUGACAAAGUAUUAAUACCUUUGGAGACUCUGAGGACAUCUACUGCCAAAGAACUCCCAUUGUAAGCAUGAUCGCUCCCCUUCUUCUUCCAUCAAGAAUUAUCCUAUUUCACAUGGACAAUUUCUUUGCACUUAUAACAUUGAACACCCCUUCUGUUGACCAU